rnacentral:rRNA from 1 species
GACGAACGCUGGCGGCGUGCUUAACACAUGCAAGUCGAACGAUGAAGCCUAGCUUGCUAGGUGGAUUAGUGGCGAACGGGUGAGUAAUACGUGAGUAACCUACCUUUAACUCUGGGAUAGCCUGGGAAACUGGGUCUAAUACCGGAUACGACCAAUCUCCGCAUGGGGUGUUGGUGGAAAGCGUUAUGUAGUGGUUAUAGAUGGGCUCACGGCCUAUCAGCUUGUUGGUGAGGUAACGGCUCACCAAGGCGACGACGGGUAGCCGGCCUGAGAGGGUGACCGGCCACACUGGGACUGAGACACGGCCCAGACUCCUACGGGAGGCAGCAGUGGGGAAUAUUGCACAAUGGGCGCAAGCCUGAUGCAGCGACGCCGCGUGAGGGAUGACGGCCUUCGGGUUGUAAACCUCUGUUAGCAGGGAAGAAGAGAAAUUGACGGUACCUGCAGAGAAAGCGCCGGCUAACUACGUG